rnacentral:rRNA from 1 species
AUUGAACGCUGGCGGCAGGCUUAACACAUGCAAGUCGAACGCCCCGCAAGGGGAGUGGCAGACGGGUGAGUAACACGUGGGAACGUACCCUUUACUACGGAAUAACGCAGGGAAACUUGUGCUAAUACCGUAUGUGCCCUUUGGGGGAAAGAUUUAUCGGUAAAGGAUCGGCCCGCGUUGGAUUAGCUAGUUGGUGGGGUAAAGGCCUACCAAGGCGACGAUCCAUAGCUGGUCUGAGAGGAUGAUCAGCCACAUUGGGACUGAGACACGGCCCAAACUCCUACGGGAGGCAGCAGUGGGGAAUAUUGGACAAUGGGCGCAAGCCUGAUCCAGCCAUGCCGCGUGAGUGAUGAAGGCCUUAGGGUUGUAAAGCUCUUUCACCGGAGAAGAUAAUGACGGUAUCCGGAGAAGAAGCCCCGGCUAACUUCGUGCCAGCCGCCGCCGUAA